AUUGAACGCUGGCGGCAGGCCUAACACAUGCAAGUCGAGCGAGCGGCGGACGGGUGAGUAAUGUCUGGGAAAAUGCCUGAUGGAGGGGGAUAACUACUGGAAACGGUAGCUAAUACCGCAUACCAUCAGAUGUGCCCAGGUGGGAUUAGCUAGUAGGUGGGGUAACGGCUCACCUAGGCGGCGAUCCCUAGCUGGUCUGAGAGGAUGACCAGCCAGACUGGAACUGAGCCACGGUCCAGAUGCCUACGAGAGGCAGCAGUGGGGAAUAUUGCACAAUGGGCUCACACCUGAUGCAGCCAUGCCGCUUGUGUGAAGAAGGCCUUCGGGUUGUAAAGCACUUUCAGCGGGGAGGCGUUACCCGCAGAAGAAGCACCGGCUAACUCCGUGCCAGCAGCCGCGGUAAUUC
rnacentral:rRNA from 1 species